AUUAUGUAUUUGUGCUGCACUGUUGUUCAAGCCAUCAUUGGGUCAAAAAUAAUGUCAAUUUUUAAAUCUCUGCCUUUCCAGGUCAACAAGUUCAAUCCAAUGGGAGAUGUUUUAGGAUCUGGGAUGGGAGUGAACAUCCUAGUGUGGAACAGAGUGGAGACAUUGGCUGGUAAGCAGCAGAGAGGAGAGCUACAACAGGAAGCAGGAGUCCAGGUUGGCAGAGGUCGAGGCCAGCGGAGGAGAAGAGGGGAGACUCGGAGGGGGGGAGGGACGGGGGGACGGGGGCGAGAGGAUGAGGACGACAUUGGGAAGCUGAAGAAGAAGCUAUCUUUGUCCUCGGGGACCAGAACCAGAACAUCCAGGGACACAGAAGGGUCCAAAUAAAUAAUCAGGGAGAAAGAGAGAGGUUUAUUGUGUGUUUCCUUUAUUUUGGUAGUUACCCGACAAUGUCAUAGACAACUAACUACCAAAAUAAAGGAAACACCAACAUACAGUGUUUUAAUAGGGUGUUGGACCACCACCAACCAACCAGAACAGAUUCAAUGCUCCUUGGUAUAGAUUCUACAAGUGUCUGGAACUCUAUUGGAGGGACGCGACACCAUUCUUCCACCAGAAAUUACAUCAUUUGGUGUUUUGUUGAUGGUGGUGGAAAAACACUGUCUCAGGCGGCGCUCCAGAAUCUCCCAAGAGUGUUCAAUUGGGUUGACUGAUACACAUCCUCUAUGUUCCUUUGAGAGCCCUCUUUCAGUCACUGAGAUCUGGUGACUGAGACACAUCCUCUAUGUUCCUCUGAGAGCCCUCUUUCAGUCACUGAGAUCUGGUGACUGAGACACAUCCUCUAUGUUCCUUUGAGAGCCCUCUUUCAGUCACUGAGAUCUGGUGACUGAUACACAUCCUCUAUGUUCCUUUGAGAGCCCUCUUUCAGUCACUGAGAUCUGGUGACUGAGACACAUCCUCUAUGUUCUUUGGAGAGCCCUCUUUCAGUCACUGAGAUCUGGUGACUGAGACACAUCCUCUAUGUUCUUUGAGAGCCCUCUUUCAGUCACUGAGAUCUCUUCUUCUAGCCAUAAUGGGCAACUCGGCAUAUUUUUUUUUUACCUGACCCUAAGCAUGAUGGGAUGUUAAUUUCUUAAUUACCUCAGGAACCACACCUGUGUGGAAGCACCUACUUUCAAUUUACUGUGUAUCAUUUACUCAAGUGUUUAUUUUAUUUAGUCAUUUUCCUGUCUGCAUUUGUAAUCUGUUACCUUUGUCUUGUUCAAAUCAUGUGUUUUAUUGAAAAUGUUCCAUUCCCUUUGUUAUAAACAGGAACAAUCGUGACUUUGACUCCACACAACACAACAUCCACAGAUGUUUCAAUCGUGGCUUUGACUCCACACAACACAACAUCCACAGAUGUUUCAAUCGUGACUUUGACUCCACACAACACAACAUCCACAGAUGUUUCAAUCGUGGCUUUGACUCCACACAACACAACAUCCACAGAUGUUUCAAUCGUGACUUUGACUCCACACAACACAACAUCCACAGAUGUUUCAAUCGUGGCUUUGACUCCACACAACACAACAUCCACAGAUGUUUCAAUCGUGGCUUUGACUCCACACAACACAACAUCCACAGAUGUUUCAAUCGUGACUUUGACUCCACACAACACAACAUCCACAGAUGUUUCAAUCGUGGCUUUGACUCCACACAACACAACAUCCACAGAUGUUUCAAAUAUGUCUGACAACACAUAUCUUGUGUUUCAGAUGUUUUAUAUAUCUCUGUUUCUGGUGAUAAAUUGUUACGUUUUAUAAACAGUUCAUACUUUAUUAAAACAUUUCAUUUUGAGCUUGAACUUGAUUGUGUAUUUAUUCUUCACCUUAAACUGAUGAAUAGUUAGCCUGGUACCUUAAACUGAUGAAUAGUUAGCCUGGUCCCUUAAACUGAUGAAUAGUUAGCCUGGUACCUUAAACUGAUGAAUAGUUAGCCUGGUACCUUAAACGGAUGAAUAGUUAGCCUGGUCCCUUGAACUGAUGAAUAGUUAGCCUGGUACCUUAAACUGAUGAAUAGUUAGCCUGGUACCUUAAACUGAUGAAUAGUUAGCCUGGUACCUUAAACUGAUGAAUAGUUAGCCUGGUACCUUAAACUGAUGAAUAGUUAGCCUGGUACCUUAAACUGAUGAAUAGUUAGCCUGGUACCUUAAACUGAUGAAUAGUUAGCCUGGUACCUUAAACUGAUGAAUAGUUAGCCUGGUCCCUUAAACUGAUGAAUAGUUAGCCUGGUACCUUAAACUGAUGAAUAGUUAGCCUGGUACCUUAAACUGAUGAAUAGUUAGCCUGGUACCUUAAACUGAUGAAUAGUUAGCCUGGUCCCUUAAACUGAUGAAUAGUUAGCCUGGUACCUUAAACUGAUGAAUAGUUAGCCUGGUACCUUAAACUGAUGAAUAGUUAGCCUGGUACCUUAAACUGAUGAAUAGUUAAUCUAGUCCCUUAAACUGAUGAAUAGUUAGCCUGGUACCUUCAACUGAUGAAUAGUUAGCCUGGUCCCUGUUGAAGGAAUUCUAAAUUCCUCUGUUUUAUUUCCCAAUCAGAAUUAAACACUCUGUCAAUGCAUUUAAGGGUUUGUAAGACCCUAUAUAUUUUAUAAGAAUGGACAGAGCCCCGGUCUUAAAAGUCAGGUAACAGCGUUUAAUUCAAGAGAGUACUGGUAUAUACACAUUUUUCCACAGGUUAUAAACUGAAAAUGACGUCAACGUUUUCUAAAUGUUCUCUUCAUGACACCGGUAGAGAGGCCCUAUAGUUUUUGAGCCUUCCCUCCUCUCCUAAAGCCAAGGUCAGUCAGUGUAGAUUAGCAUUCUAGACAGUCUGGAGAUAGUCCGUCCCUGCCAUCUGGAGAUAGUUCAUUCAUUUGUACCAAGGCACUGUUCUAAACUCCUGACUAUAUUAUAUACAAUUGGGAAUGGGAGCAAGAGAGAAAAUUCAUACAUGUACAGUACAUAAUAGCAUUUGGACAAGUCAGUCCUGAUUGAAAUGUAUACAUAAUUAGUCAUCAUUGAUAAACGGUAGUGUAGUAAACAGAGUGUACAGAGUGUACGGUAGUGUAGUAAACAGAGUGAGUACGGUAGUGUAGUAAACAGAGUGAGUACGGUAGUGUAGUAAACAGAGUGAGUACGGUAGUGUAGUAAACAGAGUGAGUACGGUAGUGUAGUAAACAGGGAGUACGGUAGUGUAGUAAACAGAGUGAGUACGGUAGUGUAGUAAACAGGGUGAGUACGGUAGUGUAUUAGACAGAGUGAGUACAGUAGUGUAUUAAACAGAGUGAGUACGGUAGUGUAGUAAACAGAGUGAGUACGGUAGUGUAGUAAACAGAGUGAGUACGGUAGUGUAUUAUUAGACAGAGUGAGUACAGUAGUGUAGUAAACAGAGUGAGUACAGUAGUGUAGUAAACAGAGUGAGUACGGUAGUGUAUUAUUAGACAGAGUGAGUACGGUAGUGUAUUAUUAGACAGAGUGAGUACAGUAGUGUAGUAAACAGAGUGAGUACGGUAGUGUAUUAUUAGACAGAGUGAGUACAGUAGUGUAGUAAACAGAGUGCAGCCAAUAGCAGCCAACGGGUUUCUCCACACAUCGCGCUGACAGAAACAAACAUCUUUCUGGGAAGAAGA
rnacentral:lncRNA from 1 species